UUUCCAGGUGAAGACACUGCCUCACAGGGACUUAGUAGACAAAGGACAGAGCUGGAGCCAGGCGAUGUGUCUUCAAAACAGAAAUCCUAUACGUUCACCCCAUGACUCCGGGUUCUACCAGAGGAAUGCGCUUAUGGCCAUGUGACUCUCUAAAGCCCACAUACUCUAGGAAAAGUGGCUUUUAAAAUCAAGUUAAUUUGACUCAUCUAUCUUUCUCAGACUGCCUCACCAGUUUAUAAGGUUGAUAAGAAACUCAACCUCAAAACUUAAUUUUCUGCAAUUUGUUUUUUAAUGUAUUGGCAUUAUAAAAAAGAAAUAAUAAUAACCCUGAAGUUUAUGCCAUCUAAGAAACUGAGCCACUGUGGUAUGGCCUUUUUUCCUCUCGCUUUUGAUCUACCAUGGUCACUGGCGAGACACAAGGGACUCAUGUCCUUCCAAAGCUGCUGGAGCCUUUGCUCAGGUCAUCAAACCCUGGAGAUCCCACGUGGGUAUUAUGUCUGCUCUCAAUGUUCCUGUGUUUGGGUCUCAGGGUACCCAUACCCUCCAUACCCACAGAGAUCUCACCUGCUCCUUACACCCUGGCGGUAAAACAAUCUUUAUGGGCAGUCUGUGCACAGCCUCUUCCUUCUCUUAAGUUCUAUUAAUCAAAACCAUCUUUACAAUCCUCCGAGGCAAAGGAUGCUCUGAACACCCAACCAAAAUCUUCAGAUGGCCUCUCCCACAACAGGUUGGAGUGCAGCUUCUCAAGAUGUCAUGGUAAUACCACUCCACACAACUCAUUUGGAAUGUGCUUGCUCAGCCAUAUAGAAAUUUUCAGUAAACCACUCUGCUACAGGUUGUCAUAUUAGAGAGCAAGCUGACUUAACACUGCUGAUAGCAAGCUCAGAAGGAGCCAGUGUUUCACUACCUUUGAUUCUUUGCAUACAGAACAAUGGCAUUGCUAAAGGACAUGUGUCUGAAGACCCACUAGUCCCUGGAGCUACUAAUGUUCACUGUAGCUGCUGGUGCAGCCAUAUGCCAGAAUCUUGAUAUUUAAAAACUUUCCUCCUUCAUUUCCCAUUUUUCUUUAUUCUAUGUGUAUUUCUUUGUUCUCCCCACACACCCCCAAGUAUAUUUAGCUAUGCAAAUUCAAAAUGGUAAAGUAGAUACCAAUGUUGCUAAUAUAGAAGUAUAAGGGUAGGAGACAGCCAGAAGAAUGAUGAUAGAAAUGAGGACCACUGUUGCCAGUCACUGCUCGCUCUUGCCUUCACCAGGCAUCUCCUUUAUGAGCUCUCUGCAGAUUUGUUAGCAUUUCCAGGGAAAGAAUGCAAAGACCAGCAGCUAGUGUAUACGUCUGAAAGUGUUCGCCUCAUCUGAAAGCUCAAAGGGGGUGAGAAGGGCGCAUAUCCAGAGGAGGGAAUUUAAAGUUUCCUGCCAAACCCUAGAACCCUCUUUUGAGGCUGUUUCUUCUGAUCCCAUCACCUGUGCAGCUCUGCAAAUUAGAUAUGGUUUUGGUCCAACUCCAGGAGUAGUCAACUCAGCCUGGCUUUCGGCUCUAAUGGGUCUCUUUAUCAGAAAGAGUUCUAAAAUGGCUGUUUUAACAGUGUUUUAGAACAGAGGAAGCCAAACAGGUGAUAUCUUUCCCCAAAAGGUUAUCUUCCCUCAGCAUGGAAAAGUUGGUUAACAUUGGAGGAGGCACUUUAACAGAUUGAUUUAGUCCCCAGUAAAGGUCAGGAGUCACUCCCUCUCUCCUCCAUCCUCCGUGCUCCUCUUUCCUCCCCGUUUCCCACUUCUGUUUCAAUGCCAUGUCUUAUCUUGAACUAUUCUAACUUCCACCUGACACAGAGAAGGAUCCUGGGAAUGUGUGGAGAGCAUUAUAAAACUAACAGUUCAUAAAAAACUUUUCAUGUGCUUAAAACUUGCUAGGUAAGUUUCUUUGUCUCUCCCCAGUCUCUGUCUCUCUGUCUAUCUCUCUGUUUCUCCUCUCUCUGUCUCUCUC
ensembl:lincRNA